rnacentral:rRNA from 1 species
AACGAACGCUGGCGGCAGGCCUAACACAUGCAAGUCGAGCGCCCCGCAAGGGGAGCGGCGGACGGGUGAGUAACGCGUGGGAAUAUGCCCUUUGCUACGGAAUAGUCUCGGGAAACUGGGGGUAAUACCGUAUACGCCCUUUGGGGGAAAGAUUUAUCGGCGAAGGAUUAGCCCGCGUUGGAUUAGGUAGUUGGUGGGGUAAUGGCCUACCAAGCCGACGAUCCAUAGCUGGUUUGAGAGGAUGAUCAGCCACACUGGGACUGAGACACGGCACAGACUCCUACGGGAGGCAGCAGUGGGGAAUCUUAGACAAUGGGGGCAACCCUGAUCUAGCCAUGCCGCGUGAGUGAUGGAGGCCUUAGGGUUGUAAAGCUCUUUCAGCUGGGAAGAUAAUGACGGUACCAGCAGAAGAAGCCCCGGCUAACUCCGUG